rnacentral:sRNA from 1 species
ACCACGAGGAGAAGGGCAAGAGAUUAGAAGAAUCAUUAAAAGUUGAAGGUUG